rnacentral:misc_RNA from 1 species
UUAGUGGUACCCAGCAAGUCCCCAUUCCCGAUGAAGCUUGAAACUUUUUUGCGUAUGACCAAAACACCGUAUAUGAAUGACCACAGCGGCCGAAUGUCGACGAAAGGUAAGACCCCCUGGAUUGAAUACAACGACACCCAGGUAACAGACUCACAGUUCUGUAUUGAGUUCAUCAAAAAGAAAAUGGACAUCGACUUAAACAGGAGCCUGAGUGAACAACAGAAAAGCAUUGCCAGGGCCUUCCUCAAACUGAUAGAGGAAAACUUUUACUGGACCAUGUGCAUUGAAAUGUUUUGUAACGAAGACAACAUACCACUGUUAAAGACCCAGGCCCCCCUGAAGGGCCCCGGGUUCUGGCUUUACUAUUGGUUUGUAAAGCGCGCCAUCAAGAACGCCACCUGGGGGCACGGUAUUGGGCGCCACAGUGUGGAUGAGGUUUGGAGCAUAGCACAGGGCGACAUUGAGGCGCUGUCUCAUUUUCUAGGAAAUAAGAGGUAUUUUAUGGGUGACGAGCCUAGCGAGAUAGACUGUUCAUUGUUUGGAAUGUUAUCUCUGCUCCUAGUGUCCAUGCAAGGAACGAGAUACGAGGCUUUCACCAAACAGCACCAUCCUAACCUGUUGACCUACUUCCAGAGGAUGAAGUCAACCUAUUGGGCGGACUGGGACAAUCUCAUCACUUCUAGCGAAAGCUUCAAAAACGAUCACGGAAAAGUGUAUUUCGCUGAAAAUGUCGUUAAAAAAUGAUUUUGAUCAUUUAACUAGUGUUACGGGUUAUUACGGGCCGCCAGAACCGCCAGAAGGCGAUCCGUUAUUUGAUAUACAUUUAAUGGUUAUUUUUAUAAAUUAAAAGUAAAUUUUCAUGAAGAAAUAUGUUUAUGCCUUUUAAAAAAUAUUACAUAU